rnacentral:rRNA from 1 species
CCCUGCUUCCAGGAAAAGCCUCUAAGCCUCAGGUAACAUCAAAUCGUACCCCAAACCGACACAGGUGGUCAGGUAGAGAAUACCAAGGCGCUUGAGAGAACUCGGGUGAAGGAACUAGGCAAAAUGGUGCCGUAACUUCGGGAGAAGGCACGCUGACACGUAGGUGAAGUGGUUUACCCAUGGAGCUGAAGUCAGUCGAAGAUACCAGCUGGCUGCAACUGUUUAUUAAAAACACAGCACUGUGCAAACACGAAAGUGGACGUAUACGGUGUGACGCCUGCCCGGUGCCGGAAGGUUAAUUGAUGGGGUCAGCGCAAGCGAAGCUCCUGAUCGAAGCCCCGGUAAACGGCGGCCGUAACUAUAACGGUCCUAAGGUAGCGAAAUUCCUUGUCGGGUAAGUUCCGACCUGCACGAAUGGCGUAAUGAUGGCCAGGCUGUCUCCACCCGGGACUCAGUGAAAUUGAACUCGCUGUGAAGAUGCAGUGUACCCGCGGCAAGACGGAAAGACCCCGUGAACCUUUACUAUAGCUUGACACUGAACACUGGUCCUUGAUGUGCAGGAUAGGUGGGAGGCUUUGAAGUGUGGACGCCAGUCUGCAUGGAGCCAUCCUUGAAAUACCACCCUUUAAUGGCUGGUGUUCUAACGUGGGCCCGUGAACCGGGUUGCGGACAGUGUCUGGUGGGUAGUUUGACUGGGGCGGUCUCCUCCUAAAGAGUAACGGAGGAGCACGAAGGUUGGCUAAUCCUGGUCGGACAUCAGGAGGUUAGUGCAAUGGCAUAAGCCAGCUUGACUGCGAGCGUGACGGCGCGAGCAGGUGCGAAAGCAGGUCAUAGUGAUCCGGUGGUUCUGAAUGGAAGGGCCAUCGCUCAACGGAUAAAAGGUACUCCGGGGAUAACAGGCUGAUACCGCCCAAGAGUUCAUAUCGACGGCGGUGUUUGGCACCUCGAUGUCGGCUCAUCACAUCCUGGGGCUGAAGUAGGUCCCAAGGGUAUGGCUGUUCGCCAUUUAAAGUGGUACGCGAGCUGGGUUUAGAACGUCGUGAGACAGUUCGGUCCCUAUCUGCCGUGGGCGCUGGAAGAUUGAGGGGGGCUGCUCCUAGUACGAGAGGACCGGAGUGGACGCAUCACUGGUGUUCGGGUUGUCAUGCCAAUGGCACUGCCCGGUAGCUACAUGCGGAAGAGAUAAGUGCUGAAAGCAUCUAAGCACGAAACUUGCCCCGAGAUGAAUCUUCCCUGAGCCUUUAAGGCUCCUGAAGGAACGUUGAAGACGACGACGUUGAUAGGCCGGGUGUGUAAGCGCAGCGAUGCGUUGAGCUAACCGGUACUAAUGAACCGUGAGGCUUAACCUUACA